rnacentral:lncRNA from 1 species
CUAUAUUAUCAAAAUAAAACGGGUUUAUCUAUAAAUGUUAUAAACUUUAAAUGAAUCUUCAAAUAAAUAAUUUCUUAAUUAACCAUUACUUUUCAUUUCAGGGGUAUUUUAUUUGAUCGGCGUUAUAGUUUUUGCUGCCGAAGUGAACGAUUGGCCGGAAAAUGCCGCUACGGACUAUAAGUUUGGUUAUUCAUUUGCUCUUGAUCAUCGCCCUUGUGCUAGAAAUCAUUGUGGUAUUUUGAUGAUUGUAA